rnacentral:misc_RNA from 1 species
UUGUGGAGGAGGACGCCGAAGGUGGGGCUAAUGACUGGGGUGAAGUCGUAACAAGGUAGCCGUACCGGAAGGUGCGGCUGGAUCACCUCCUAACAGGGAGACAACAAAAUGUUUAAUAUUAUUUUGUCACCUUAGGUCGAUCGGUAUCUCACGUUCUUAUUUUUUAAGAAUUUCAUUUCCUAAGUUUUUCUAGGUCACACCCAUUAUUUUUCCUGGGCCAUUAGCUCAGGUGGUUAGAGCGCACCCCUGAUAAGGGUGAGGUCCCUGGUUCAAGUCCAGGAUGGCCCAUAUCUCUAUGUUGGGGGUAUAGCUCAGUUGGUAGAGCGCCUGCUUUGCAAGCAGGAUGUCAGCGGUUCGAGUCCGCUUACCUCCACUGAUUACCACCUCUUCCAUAAUCUGUAGAAAGGAAAUGUUUUGAGUUGUGAUCAAAUUCUGAACGAAUCUAGCUUCCUAAUGAAAACAUUAAGAUGCUGGACUCAUUGAAUUAAUUUCAUUGAUUUCAGGGAACCUUGACAACUGCAUAGAUUAUUUUAAAGACAAUAAGCAUUUUUAAUGAUGCAGAUUUAUUAUUUAUGCGAAUGCAUUAAAUAACAAUUCUAUUAAGCUGAUGCUUCAAUUUUGAAGUUAUUGGUCAAGCUACAA